GACGAACCGUCCUAACGUUGUUCGGAAUCACUGGGCUUAAAGGGCGCGUAGGCGGGCUGCCAAGUCCGGGGUGAAAGCUUUCGGCUUAACCGGAAAAGGGCCUUGGAAACUGGCAGUCUCGAGGGAGGUAGGGGCCUGUGGAACUUCGGGUGGAGCGGUGAAAUGCGUUGAUAUCCGAAGGAACGCCGGUGGCGAAAGCGACGGGCUGGAUCUCUUCUGACGCUGAGGCGCGAAAGCCAGGGGGAGCAAAACGGGG
rnacentral:rRNA from 1 species